UCUGCUCCAAAUGUUAUAACCCCAAAAUGCCAUCGGGUUUACAAAGAAAAAAUAAGUAACUUAUUUAUAAUCUUGUUUGUUAUUUUGCACGAGAAAGAGCCACAGGUGGUCCACUUUUACCAGUCGCAGCACUAAUAAAGGUGAGUGGUUACUUUAAUAGUAUAACAGUUCGUUCUAAAUCGGACAAACAAGUCCUAAAAACAAGGCAUUGGAAGAAACCCGUUAGCGAUGUUGUUGGUUUCACACAAGCAGCGAUUCGGAACUUCAUUUACGACAUGAUUUAACAUAAACAACAUCUUACGCUUCAAUCCAUUUUGCAAAAAAGAGAAAUACGUACUAAAUGGGUCCAAAAAUAGGGUUAGAAAAGUUGUUGCAAAUAUUGGUUUCCGCUAUUAUAAUGGUAUUUCAAGAAAAGCUUUAAUGGAGUUCCCCAAUAUUGCACUAUCAAGUGUAAAAAAUAUGCAAUCUGAGAAUAGAGGCCAAUGUGUUUUUUUGGAUGAAACGUGGGUAUUUUCUUGAAAAUGGAACAAUAUGUAAGUCAUGACAAGACGACAAUGCAAAAAGCGUAAGAGAAGUUGAAUCAGAGGGACGCAGGUAACGUACUGGUAUUGCUGAGUACAAUAUCAUAACUAUUUAAGACAUGUGAUUUGACAUGGUGGAAACAUGCAAUUACUGAUGGAGCAUCUUUAAUUUUUACUUCAAAAACAAAUGAUCCAGAUUACCAUGGGGAAAUGAACAAGCAAAGUUUUCUUAAGUGGUUCGGGGACCAUUUGCUACCUAAUUUAAAAGAACCAUCGCUGAUUAUCAUGGACCAUGCGAGUUAUCACAGUAGCUGACUGAAAACUUGCCAAUUCUUCCUAGACUAAAGCACAACUACAGGCAUGGCUACAGCACAAAUAUGUUGUUUCCAAAUGAUGCAUUAAAAAUAGAAUUGGUGGAGAUUGUUGCAACUUUCGAGACUACAAAAAUUGUUAUUUCCGGAACAACAAAACUCUAUGCUACCGAUGAGAUGGCAUUAGAAAAUGGACAUGCAGUACUACGGUUGCCUCCCUUCCAUUGCAUUUUCAAUCCCAUCGAAAAUAUGGGGAAUUUGCAAACAACAUUAUAAUCGGCAAGCAACAUGCCAUUCAUGCAGUUACAUCUGAUAUGUGGAAACGCACUGUAGAGCAUACCAACCAAGUUAUUUUAGAUUGGUGGGACAUAGAAGUGAAGUUUGACCCAGAAGAUGUAGCCCCAUUGAUAUUUAAUUUGAAAGAUGAUUCAGAUAUCAACUUCAAGAAAUGAUCCAACGAUCCUCUAAGCAAUUAUACCAUUUCGAGCUUGAUGGACUUCAAGAUACCUAAUCAAGCUUAAGAUUUGAAGUCAAUAAAAUGACUGGUGAACGGCGUGUGCGGAGUUUUAAAAUUCAUGGAUAGAUUCGGAAGAACGCGUCUUCGGUAAAAAGGCUGUAUUUAGGACGAAAACAGGAAGAUCGGCGAACAAGUUAGGCGAAAGUUUAUUGCCUUUGCGACGUUCAACACCCACCUGGAACAAUGCAGGUUGAAGUUUUUGGAAAAAUGACGUUCCUAGAAUCUUGAAAUUUGUUAUCUGAUUUUAUUAUUACACAAUUUGAAUAAUGUUCUAUGAAUUUUCUCUUGCUUUUGUUGUUUUUGUUAAUUUAGUUCGUGGGCUAUGUAAGGGUUUCGGCCCGAAGGAGGUUUCCCUUAUAUCGCCCG